rnacentral:lncRNA from 1 species
CAGCACAGUAACUUAAAAGCUGUAAUCUAUCGUUACCAAAUAAGAACUUAAUAUUCGGGUUUAUAUAUAACGAUUUAGAAGAAACAGUGAUGUGAAGUCCGAGCAUCUCACCGCAAGAAUCAGUGAUAUGGCAAAUUGGAAAGCCGCAUGCAUGGCCAGGCCAGUCAAGGGUAAGCAAUCGUACCUCUACCUCGUACAAUUCAAUCUCACUGACACCGCGUGUUGUCACGGCCGUGGCACAAGCUACUUGGAUUUUCAAGAGAAGCCAACCCAACCCAUGUGAAUUUGUUUGUACUUUUUCUAUUUAUUUAUUACUUAUCGCAGAAAAACCAAAUGCACAAUUUGACUUGGAAAUUUGCCAAUUUCACUCACUCUCACUCAAAUUACUGCAGGUUUCACGGCUCAUACUUAAACGGUGCCUGCCUUGUUGGCUUUUAAGAGUUUGCGCAAAUUUAUGUGUCAAUUUUACAUAGAAAAUUUGCCAAAAUGAAAGAGUUUUAUUGCAAUCUUACAUUUCUUAAAAAUUUUAUUUAUUUAAAUCUCUCAUUUUGAUUAUCUUUUUGACAAAAAAAAAAAAAUGACCACGAGGGCAGCUAUGUGAUUCAAAUGUUUGUGCCCAUGUUCAUGUCGCAUUAAUAACUACGAUGAUGAUGGGAUUUAGGUUAAAUUAAUGAAAGCUCAUGUGACUUUAAUUUUCUUGCGUGUUCACUGAGAGUGAAGAGGGAGGUGCGUAGAAUGGAUAGCAUUUUGGGAAUCGCUUUAAUUCCCAAUCAACAAUAUGAUUGCAGAUUUGACUCCGAUUUUGUGCCCAAAUUAUUAAAUAACUUGCACAACGUGAUCCCCACUUGCUUCCUUUUCCUUUCCUUUAAUUGCGAUCAACUUUAAGAUGGAUUAAUUAAUAAUUGGAAACGAAGGAAUAGGGCUUCAAUUAAAUGUAAUCUUGAACAUUAAUGUCUCCUUUCAUUAUUCAUAAUAUUUUAAUUCCAAGGGGUUGAAUACUUGAAUUAUAUUUUCCACCCUUUUUUUUCCAAAUAGUUUUAAUCA